UACGUAGGGGGCAAGCGUUGUCCGGAUUUAUUGGGCGUAAAGAGCGUGUAGGCGGCCAGGUAGGUCAGCUGUGAAAACUCGAGGCUCAACCUCGAGAUGUCGGCUGAAACCAUCUGGCUAGAGUGCGGAAGGGGCAACUGGAAUUCUCGGUGUAGCGGUGAAAUGCGUAGAUAUCGAGAGGAACACCUGCGGCGAAGGCGGGUUGCUGGGCCGACACUGACGCUGAUGCGCGAAAGCCAGGGGAGCGAACGGG
rnacentral:rRNA from 1 species